GAUGAAGAACGUAGCAAAAUGCGAUAAGUAAUGUGAAUUGCAGAAUUCAGUGAAUCAUCGAAUCUUUGAACGCACAUUGCGCCCGCUGGUAUUCCGGCGGGCAUGCCUGUUCGAGCGUCAUUUCAACCCUCAAGCUCUCCGGAGUUUGGUGUUGGGGCGCCUGGGGCUUUUCGACCUCAGGGCCCUCAAGUCCAUCGGCGGGACCGCCAGGACACUGAGCGCAGUAGUAUUAUUUCGCUCGGUAGGAUCUUCCACGGCGGGUCGAUCUGGCCGCUAAACCCCCCAAUUCUCACCAAAGGUUGACCUCGGAUCAGGUAGGAAUACCCGCUGAACUUAAGCAUAUCAAUAAGCGGAGGA
rnacentral:misc_RNA from 1 species